UGAAGGUGCACCUUAUAAUCCGAAGCGCUUUAUAGUCCGGAAAAUACGGUAAUGUUCAUAUAGGAUAUGUUGUGAUUGUCUCCGACCAUUUAUUUGCAGUUCCUUUUCUUCUACAGAAUCCCUACUCUUGAUUAAUCAGUUGUUUCUCAUUUUGCAGGUGUAGCGGCAUCUCAGGACCAGGACUUUGGGACUGCCAACCUGCACGUAGAAGUCUCUGAUGUUGUCUCGAUUCUAGUAUAUGUCGGAGUGGCCAAAGGCAAUGGAGUAUUGUCCAAAACAGGAGUGUUAAAGCGUCUGGAAGAGGACAAUCUCGAUGAAGGGGUUCGGAAGAGGCUGAAGGACUCCAGUGAGACACCGGGGGCACUAUGGCACAUCUACCUCAACAAAGACAUGGACAAAGUCCGGGAAUUCUUGUACAAGGUAACAGAA